UUUAAUGGAGAGUUUGAUCCUGGCUCAGGACGAACGCUGGCGGCGUGCCUAAUACAUGCAAGUCGAGCGGAGCUCUCGCGGCGGAAGCCUUCGGGUGGAAGCUGCGAAAGCUUAGCGGCGGACGGGUGAGUAACACGUGGGCAACCUGCCCGAAAGACCGGGAUAACAUCCGGAAACGGAUGCUAAUACCGGAUAAGCGGAC
rnacentral:rRNA from 1 species